rnacentral:rRNA from 1 species
AACGAACGCUGGCGGCAGGCCUAACACAUGCAAGUCGAGCGCCCCGCAAGGGGAGCGGCGGACGGGUGAGUAACGCGUGGGAACGUGCCCUUUGCUACGGAAUAGCCCCGGGAAACUGGGAGUAAUACCGUAUAAGCCCUACGGGGGAAAGAUUUAUCGGCAAAGGAUCGGCCCGCGUUGGAUUAGGUAGUUGGUGGGGUAAUGGCCUACCAAGCCGACGAUCCAUAGCUGGUUUGAGAGGAUGAUCAGCCACACUGGGACGGAGACCCGGCCCAGACUCCUACGGGGGGCAGCAGUGGGGAAUCUUAGACAAUGGGCGCAAGCCUGAUCUAGCCAUGCCGCGUGAGCGAUGAAGGCCUUAGGGUUGUAAAGCUCCUUCGUGGGGGAAGAUAAUGACUGUACCCCAAGAAGAAGCCCCGGCUAACUCCGUGCCAGCCGCCGCCGUAAGAC